rnacentral:tRNA from 1 species
UAAGAAUUAGUUAAAUUAUAACAUUAGUCUGUCUAACUAAAGUUAUCGGCUAAUCCUCGAUAUUCUUAC